UGAUUCCUCCCAAGAGUUCAUAUCGACGGGGGAGUUUGGCACCUCGAUGUCGGCUCAUCACAUCCUGGGGCUGUAGCCGGUCCCAAGGGUAUGGCUGUUCGCCAUUUAAAGUGGUACGUGAGCUGGGUUUAAAACGUCGUGAGACAGUUUGGUCCCUAUCUGCCGUGGGCGUUGGAAAUUUGAAGGGGGCUGCUCCUAGUACGAGAGGACCGGAGUGGACGAACCUCUGGUGUACCGGUUGUCACGCCAGUGGCAUUGCCGGGUAGCUAAGUUCGGAAGAGAUAACCGCUGAAAGCAUCUAAGCGGGAAACUUGCCUUGAGAUGAGAUUUCCCGGAGCCUUGAGCUCCUUGAAGGGUCGUUCGAGACCAGGACGUUGAUAGGCUGGGUGUGGAAGUGCAGUAAUGCAUUAAGCUAACCAGUACUAAUUGCCCGUACGGCUUGUCCCUAUAACCUUGGUAGGCUAUA
rnacentral:rRNA from 1 species